rnacentral:rRNA from 1 species
UACGGGGGGGGCAAGCGUUGUUCGGAAUUACUGGGCGUAAAGGGCUAGUAGGCGGCCAACUAAGUCGGAUGUGAAAUCCCCAGGCUCAACCUGGGAACUGCAUCCGAUACUGGAUGGCUUGAAUUCGGGAGAGGGAUGCAGAAUUCCAGGUGUAGCGGUGAAAUGCGUAGAUAUCUGGAGGAAUACCGGUGGCGAAGGCGGCAUCCUGGACCGACAUUGACGCUGAGGAGCGAAAGCCAGGGGAGCAAACGGG